AGCUCAUUGAAUUGCAUUCUGAUUGCCCUGAUUUGUUGGAUCCAAGCCAAAGAAAUCUUCAAGUAACAGAAGCACUCUCAUCCAGUAAAUGACCUACAUAAAUUCAGUUUUCCUUGGCCCUGUUUUGCUUCUUCUUCCAGAUAAGAGAAGAUGUCAAAUCUGGUGUUUAUAUUGAAAAUUUGACAGAGCAGUAUGAAGGAUGUCACACAACUGCUGAUAAAGGGAUUGUCAAACAGGAGGACAGGUGCAACUAGUAUAAAUGCAGAAAGCUCACACUCACGUAGUGUUUUCAUUUGUGUUGUUGAAUCUCGAUGCAAGGUAAUAACUGCUGCAAUUUAAAAAUUAGUAGUUUUUCUUUAAAUUAUGAGUUACGGAUUGCAUAAAGGGUUUCUGUUAAAGGCAUAUAAAUCUGUGUCUGUAUAUUAGAAUACUCUUUACCAGCUAAGCAAUCUGAUAUUCUGUGCAGUUUUACUCAUUAUAUCUACUUCAUUAACUUUGACGUAAGAGUAGAAUCUAUUGACAUGCAACAACAACAGAAAACUUGAAUAUCUUUGUUUUUUUCAUGAGUUUUGUUUCAUUUCAUUGUGAUUGAUGUUUUUUGUGUUAAAUUCUUGUGUCUUU